rnacentral:lncRNA from 10 species
AACAUUUGUGACCAGCCUAGGCGACAUAGUGAGACCUGUCUCUACAAAAAAUAUAUAAUUAGCUGGGCGUGGUGGCGCGCGCCUGUGGUCCAAGCUUCUCCGGAGGCUGAGGUCGGGGGAUCGCCUGAGCCCUGGAGGUCGUUGCUGCAUUGAGCCGUGAACGCACCACUGCAUUCCAGCCUGGGCAACAGAGCGAACUCUAUCUCAAAACAAAACAAAACAAAACAAGAAAAAGAAAAAAAGAAGAAAAUUAAAAAAAAAAAGAAAGAAAAAGAACGUCCCAGGUCUGUUGAAGCACUAAGAAAAGCAGAAAAAGAAAGGGGAGCCAGGGAAGGGCUGGCAGGCUGUGCAAUUUAAGGGAGCACCAGAAAAACUGGCAAUCAAAUAAUAUAUUAAUGUAAUAUUUUAAAAAGUAAAAAUUAAUGCAGGAAAUCCGGGAGGAACAAAAUAAGAGUCAUGUGUACCUUAACAACAGGGUAAGGUCUGAGGAUUGCGUCAUUAGGCGAUUUUGUUGCUGUACGAACACCACAGAAUGUACUUUGACGACCUAGAUGGUGGAGCCUGGACACACCUCGGCUCUGUGGUGUGGCCUGCUGCUUCCAGGCUGCAAACCUGACAGCAUGGGGCUGUACUGAAUACCGCAGACCAUUGUAAUUCAUGGGGAAAGCGCGAAUGCAGUCCCCCACUACAACAAAUUAUGCAGUCGAGUUUUCCACAUUUGGGAAUAUCACAGGGGUCAGCACAUCCGGAGUGCAAUCGAUGAGCCCCACGCUGGGAAAAACCACCUUCGUGAUCAUGGUAUCUUCCCUGCCAGAGAGAAACCAAUCAGCUUCAUUUUCAACUUCUUCUAUGACUCCAGAGGAUUCACUUUGCAUCUUGUGACAAAUGAAUAUAUUACCUGAAAAAAAAAUGACAGGAUAGAUAUUGAAGAAAUAAUUUUUUAUAGGACUCUGGAGUGAAGGGAUUAAUAUUGACCAGAGCCAAUGAGGUCAUCUCAUCCUUGAGGGGAGCAGGUGUGAGCUUCAAAUGCUUAGGGCCUCUGGAAGGAAGCUUCCCUGUUGGAGAAAUCAC